rnacentral:rRNA from 1 species
UGGGGAAUUUUGGACAAUGGGGGAAACCCUGAUCCAGCCAUGCCGCGUGAGUGAAGAAGGCCUUCGGGUUGUAAAGCUCUUUCAUCCGGAACGAAACGGUCACGGUUAAUACCUGUGACUACUGACGGUACCGGAAGAAGAAGCACCGGCUAACUACGUG